CGUUGUUUUGAUUUGGUGUGGAUACCGGGUUUUGUGACUGAUCGGAAAGUUUUGCCGUUUUUUCCGGAAUAAUGGUCAAGAAAUGGUUAGAAAGUGAGGCCAAAGCGUCCUGGAUUGGCAAACGUUCAAAGUACGGUGGAAAUUCGGGUGAAUUGACUUUUAUAACGAGCUCGGGAGGAAUUCGACUUGCAGCCCGCGUCCGGUUACUUCGUGAACGACCCAAGCCAAGCUGCUGCUUUCGACGCCCAGACAGGGACUGGGCCCUGGAUUACAAAUCAACCUCCACUCCAAAUUAAUUUCAAAUCAGAUCCGAGUUCAGAGUCCUUCAACAACUCAAUUACAUCAAAGACGGACGGGAAUAUUGGAUGAUAAACUUGAUUCACAAGAAGCCUAAUGAGAGUACCGGAUUGCUCUGAUCGUUUUAAAUUUUGAGAUUGGGGAAAAGAGCCAUCGAAGAAAAAAAUGUCACAUUCCUCCGAGUGAUGGUGAGAACCGUGGCCUUAAUUUUUCAAAAGUAUAUUUUAAGGUUGAAAUAUAUUUGAUUAAAUUAUGCUUUUAUUAACUUGUGAUUUAAAUAUUUGGAUAAUUAAAAAUUUGUCUAACUUCAAUGUUGCAAUUUUUAAUAAUAUUAAAUAAUAUCUCUACUGGUUUAAAUUUAAAUAAAUUAAUAAGGAUGUUUGAAAUAUGGAUUAUAUAAUGUAGCGAAGUUGAUUUUAUGUUCAAUACAAGGAAUGCAACACUUGUUGCUUAAUUAUCUCAAUUUAAAAAUUAUGUCGUACGUAAUAAUCAUAAUUUGCAACUGCUGUAAUAAGGAACUGCUGAGGAAAAGAUUAAUAUUUUACCUGUUAAUUACUAUUAUGAUUUUUAAUAUUUUACCUGUUAUUUUCUAUUAUGAUUUGUGAUUGUACUUUAUGUAUUUAUUGUAUUUUAUUUUAUUUUUAUGUUGUUAUGAAAUAAAGACCAUUA